CUUCCUGUAAAGGGCCAGGUGGGAAGCACUCGUAGGCCCCGUGGUCUCUGUCGUGUCUGCUGAAGCCUGCCGUAGUAGCAUGGAAGCAGUCAGAGAUGACGUGUAAGCAAAUGGUCCCGACUGACCUCCGGUAAAGCAUUGAUUCCGGAAGCAUUUAACAGACCUAACAACCUUUCAAACCGCAUGGCGUUUCUUUCCCGGAUCCCGUUUCAGGAACGUUUCUGUUGGCUACAAGGACCGUCUCCAACAUGCUUAGGCUCUGUGAACUUUCCCAGGAUCCUGAGUAGGGUAUCCGCCAUUCGUCCUUAGGGCUCCGGGAUGUCUCGUUCUUACUGUGUCCCUGCCAACCCUGGUCCCAUCUCGUCAUGAUCACCCACUGCAGAAGAGAGGAGGUGCUAGAGUGAACAGGGUCAGGGGAGCCCCGUUCAUCCCCAGGGUCCCAGAAUGAACCAGUGUUACCAUGUACCCCUGCCCUUGCCUUCCUCCCUGCUCUAAUGGCCGUGUGUUAGCCGGAGAUCAGUUUGGGUCUGGGUGCUAUGGGUCUGUUGCGCCUGUGGCCUUGGUCCGGCCUCUGUCCUUGUCUCUGUGAAAUGAGAGUGACUGUGCCUGAGAGCGUUCCAGCAAGACAAUGAUGAUCUCCACUGUCUGAUUCCCGCUUCCCAGGUUCUCACAAUAGAUGAGGAUCCUGUUUUUCAGCCAGCUGCCGCAGAGGGGCUGGACAUUUCUCCCUUCAGACAGGACCAGGAAGGCCCGGAAGCAUCUGAGGAAGGGUGUCGCCAUGAGUAGAGAAAUCGAGGCUAUGGGCGGAAGUGGGAAGAAGCGAGAGAGGAAGACUCAUGGAAAGCCUUGCUGCGCUUGCCAAAAGAACUGCCCUCGGACUCAAGAGGGCCACGUUCAAUGCCAACCUGACAUAAGAAGAGCCAUGUGACCAGAUCCCUGGUUUGGCAGAGGAGACAUGCGAGAAGACGGAACGUUUUGGCCGAGGAGACAUCUGGCAGGGUGGAACGGAGGGAACAGGUGUGGCAGAGAGAAUAUCUGAGAAGCUCGCAGGAUUCCCAGAAGGAGCACUGGGAGUAGAUUGCCUGUUUUCCCGAAGGAACGGCAAGUUCCAAAGCUGUGCUGUGGGCAGUGUUUACUUCAUGUCUGCUUUGCUGGCGGGCCAAGUAGCAACAGCUGCAGUCGGCGUGUUCUCUGAAGGCAGCGUGUGAAGGGUGGAGGGGUUGCUCUUCUUCCCAGGUGUCUUUUGAAGAGGCAGUCAAGUCAGCAGCUCACAGUGGCCUUCUGGUAACAUCGUAUGGGCUGGGUUACAGCACAUGCCGACUGCUAAGCCAGUCACUGGGGAAAACCAUGUGAUUGCUGUGAUGAGCUUAGAAUGAUCAUUCCUCCUUCAGGAGCUGGGGUGGGUUGAGGGAACGAUAAAGAUCCUGAUAACCUUGCAUUUCUCCAGCGAGAAAGAAGAAAUUCCGUGGAUAGGGAGCCAGCCAGGUUUCCUGCAGAGAUUCACGGGAAGCUUUUGAGCAGGGGAGUCAGAAGAUGAGCGAUUCUCACAGUAGACGAGGAGCCUGUUUUUCAGCUAGCUGCUGCAAGGAGCUGGACAUUUCUCCCUUCAAAUAGGACCUGGAAGGCCUGGAAGCAUCUGGAGAAGGGCAUGGCUGUGAGUAGAGAAACAGAGGAUACAGGCUAAAGCAGGAGGAAGCGAGAGGACUCACGGAAAGCCUUGCUGCACUCUCCAAAAGAGCUGCCCUUUUCACGUGAAGAGCUAUGUGAUCGGAUCCCCGGUUUGGCAGAGUAGACAUGCGAGAAGACUGAACGUUUCAUCGUUGAAACCUCUUAAAGGUGGAAUGUGUGGCAGAAAGAACGUCUGAGAAGCUCACGCGAUUUGCAGAAGGAACAUUUGUAGAAGAUUCCCUGUUUUCCGAAGGAAUGUCAAGUUCCAAAGCCAUGCCGUGGGCAGUUUUUAGUUCAUGUGUGCUUUUCCGGUGGACUGAGUAGCAACAGCUGCAGUUGGCGUGUUGUCUGAAGGCAGUAUCUGAAGUGUGGAUGGGUUGGUCUUCUUCCCAGGUGUCUUUUCAACAGGCAGUCAAGUCUGCAGCUCAUAGUGACCUUCCGGAAACAUCAUAUGGUCUGUAUUACAGCACAUGCCUAUUGCUAAACCCAUCACUGGUGAAGGCCAUGUGAUUCCUGUGAUGUGCUUAGAAUGAUCAUUUCUCUUUCGAGACCUGAGUUAACAAGUGCAGGGUUUGACUCAGGGUGUCAUUUGUUGGCAGGCUUUCAGGGUAGUGUUUUUGCCUCUCCCCUGAUCCUUCCUUUGUGUGGGUCUCCCAGUGCCGUGGCCUGUCAGCCCAUGGGUUUUGGGUGUCACACGUGCAUGUGGUUCCUGGAGUCUUAGGCAUGUGCUCUUUUCUUACCCAUUGAGUGUUUUUAGAGGAAGGUUAUGGAGCUGCUAAACCCAGCCCUUCUGGCUGUUAAGUGUCCUGCAUGAGCCCACGCACCUGAUUCCUGGGAUUUUACUGGGAAGCUGCUGAUGUCCACCUUCCGGCUCUUUUGUUCUUUGGGAGGCUGCCCUUUUUUGGCACCGGCAGGCUGCGAAUGGUUUUCUUCCAUAGAAACAUUUCAACAACUGCCUGGCCGUCAUCUAAUGGUUGUCUGACAUUUCUCGUGGUGGUGGGGGAAGCCCCUCAUACCCUGCUUAUGUCAGACCAGUUACCUAGAGUGACUGGAAUGUCUGACAGGAUUGCACAUUUGGCAGAAGAACGUCCGAGAAGAUUCAGUGUUUGGCAGAAGAAACCUCUGUCAGACGUGAACGUGUGACAGAAGGGCCAUCCAGGAAGAUUGCACACUGGGCAGAAAGAAGACUUAAGAACAUUGCAUGGACAGCAGAAGGAGUGCUUCGGGAGAUUGCCUGGUGGGCGCCAGGAACACCUGAGAUGAUGUCAUGGCAAACAGUGGAAAUGAGAGGUUUACAUUUAAUGUCUUGUUUACAUAAGGUAGUAAACUCUGGAGCACUUGUGGUUAGGGGUGAAAACUCACCCUGGGUGAAGGAAGAAUCUUCCCUCUUCCCAGAGGGGCAAUGACUGGAAACGAGCAAGUAGGUGGGGUCUUUAAAGGGCCACAGUACUAGGCUCUAUCCUGACAGCUGUUCAGACUGCCCCAAAAGGCUUGUGAGAAGUUGUUGCUAGGGCAUAACAGGACAGUUAGAUUAAGAGUAGGAGUGAUAGCUUCUUCAACACUUUGGAGCAGGAAGGAAUGGAAGCAAGAUACAGUUGGAAGAGGGUGUAGUGGGUGACUUGAUGAAUCGAGUUCAUGGUAUUAUUUUUGACUUGGAUUCUCCUUCAUUGGCAUGCUUCUGAGUUGGCGUCAUUGCCUCUGCCCUGAUCCUUCCCUUGAGUGGGGCUGUUCACCAGUGCAGCGGCCAGUGAGCUCUUUGGGCGGGGUGUGUGGCAUACACAGUGCGAUGUCUGGAAUCUUACACGUGCUUACUUGAGGCAUUCUUACUCCACCGGUCGAGUGUUCUCAAAGAAAGAUGAUGGAGCUGCUAAACCUUGCCCAUUUUGAUCUGUUAUGUGAGACUUGCCUUUCGCCUUCUGUCAUGAUUGUGAAGUGUCCCCAGCCAUGUGGAACUGACACAUAUUGCUUGUCUCUGAACUUCUCAGCUGCCUGCAGAUCUUCCUGUUUUUCAGCUGCAGUUAGGGUUUGUCUGAGGAGAAGCAUAACAUCCCUCCAGGCCAAAUGCUCCACAAAUAAAUGUGUUGAAUGAAUGAACAAAUGAAUAAGCGAAGUGAAUGGAACAUCAAACUGCAUAAAAAUAUAUUUAUUCAUAAAUGAGAGGUGAUGAUUGCCAACAUAUCAUAAUCAGACUCUGACCUUGGUUACUUAUGAGUUUGACAACGAAGAGGAAAGAGGAUCAGAAUGGAUCUACAUUUGUCCUGUGUCAAUGGCUAUCCAGAAGCGGUAACUUUGCUGGUGCACAGAAAGUGCCAGCUUAACGUGUGUGACGGUGAAAACACGACACCUCUGAUGAAGAUAUAUAGUAGCCAGUUAUUUCAGCAUGAGAUGGAUUUGGUUUAAAUACAUAGAAUAAAAAUGGAUUUAUUUCAUUGAAAUGUAACUAAUUUGUGAACCUAUGGAAUAUUUAUUUGUAUUUUCUAGAAUUUACAAUGUGUUUCUUGGUCUAAUACUGACAGGCUAUACAAUGCCAAGAAGAUGUUUAUGCAACUAUUCUGCUGGACUUUGGUGCCUAUCCAGAUAUUACAGAUAUCAACAGAAAAACUGCUCUCCACUGUGCUGUCUAUAGUGAGAAUAUGUCAGUGGUGGCAAAACUGCUUUCACACAACACAAACAUCUAAGUGAAAAAUGGAGUAGAGAAUAACCAACAUUAUUUUCAAAAUAUUUGAAAUCCAUUUGCUUUAACACUGACAUGCGUUAGGGUCAGUUUUUCAUAUUUGGAAGCUCAAGCAUGCUCUUCUGUGAAUGAAAAUAUUCUGAAGUAACUGUCUAAUAAUUUAAAUAUUAAUGUUUUUAAAGAAGUAUUAGACGGUAUAGCUUUCUUUCAUGCAUUUAUGAUAAAUAUUUAAAUUUAUUAAAGGUAAAAGUUUGUUUUUCAAAUAUUUUAGCCACUCAAGUUUUUGUUCUUUCUAAUUAGUGUAAAACAACACAGAAAAGCAAAAUGUGCCUGCAUAAACUGAGUCAACAUGUAAACCUUUUGAUAUUUAUUAUUAAAUAAGUUAUUUGGCAAUGUAUCAAAUUUUUAAAUGUGUGUCCCUUUUGACCUAGAAAUUCUACUCCCAGGAAUUUCUCCUAAGAAGAUAAUCAGAAAAGUUUACAAAGAUGAAUAGAAAAGAAGAGUCACUGCAGCCUUAUUUGUAAAAGUGAAAAAUAGCAACAGCCCAAAUGUCAUGAAUGGAGAAUUAAUAUAUGGUGCAUCCAUACAAAAAUACUGUGCAGCGAGUAAGCCAAUGAAGCCCAAAAUUUCUGACAUGGACAUUGACAUAGCAGAGUGACAAUAACGAGGUUAUAAAACAUCAUCAGUGAAAGUUCCAAGUGUGAAAGCAAGGAUAAAUCAAGAUGCCUCUUGGCAUGAAACUUUACUGGACAACCUUGAAGUCAUGCCAGUACCCAGUCUGCUGAGACCAAUGCUCAAUAGACAUUUCAGCACAGGAAGCCUCUUAAAUCCCUUCAAAGGAAAAUGGGUGUCAUGAAAAUGUCAAGCCUGGCCUUCUCACUACUUACUCAAAAAGUACUUCCUAAGCGCCUACUUUGAGUCACAUCUGGGUCACAGGAAAGUGUGGUGGAAAGUCUGCACAUGGCCCAGAAAGCUCCUUCAGCUCCAACAUUCAGAACCUGCCUGCCUGCCUUCUGAGUAUCCCAAGGGCACUGUCUGACUCUUUCAUACCCACCAUUUGUCUCCCUGGACUUCUUGCUAAAUCCCUGUCUUCACUUCCUCACUUAGGGAAUUCAUGCCAGCUCUCUGACUUGAUCUAUGACCCUGCUCAUCACUGUAGGAGAAAAAAAAAAAAAUACAACCACCUUUCCAUGCUGUCAACUUAAUUAUCCCUCCCACAUUUAUCUCAUGCCUGAAAUGUAUUACCUAAAUGUUGAGUGUGCAGUUCAGGGUAAAACUGACCAACUGGAGCACAUCCAAAGAAGAGCAACCAUGGUAAAAAGAAGCUACAUCAUCAUGUCUGCUAAGGAAGGCUUGAAAUAACUAUGAAUUUUUAUUCUGGAGAAAACGAGACUAAACAAAACCAAUAAAAAUUACUCAAAAAAUAUGAAGCGUUGUUAUGAAGACAAAGGAAGAGGCACUUUCUAAAGAGACUCAAUGUAAACACUGGAAAACAUGGCAGCAUUUUCUUUAAACAGCAUUCAAUGAUGAAAUGGCUACUUGUGGUUCCAGAGGGCUCCCUGUCAUUGCGGGGUGGAGGACUAGAGUGUUUAAGAAGAGGCAAGAAGUGUAAUUUUUUUGUUCUUUAGUGUGGAGCACAGUGUGGGACACAAAGUAGGUUCUCAACAAUUUGAAAGAAUGAGUGGGUGAAAAUAUAAAUGCUCAGAAGAUAUAAAAACUCAGAAGACACUUUGAGAGGGAUAUUGUUUAAUCACUUUAUGCAUCUGAGAGGGAGCAUGACUAGAGGAUUUCUGAGGUCCCUGGGACUGGAAUUAUAUAACUCCAAGGCACUGCAACACCUCAAAGGCAAGACACAGUUCAGACAGAUCAUUUCUCUUAAUAAUCAGGCAUGGGACUAUUGCCCAGGAAUUUUAAAGACAUCUUAAACCUAGUUAUUACAUAUCACAAAACCUCUUGGAAUAAAUGAGUUUCUCACACUAAUAGGUAAAUAAUUAUUUAUUUAUCCUAUAAUUGCUUCAAGUUUAAAGAGUGCUCCUCCCUCCUCCUAAAUUCUGGGAUUUUGUGAGGAAUUCUUCCC
rnacentral:lncRNA from 1 species